rnacentral:rRNA from 1 species
CCUACGGGCGGCAGCAGUCGAGAAUUAUUCACAAUGGGGGAAACCCUGAUGGGGCGACGCCGCGUGGGGGAAUGAAGGUCUGCGGAUUGUAAACCCCUGUCAUGUGGGAGCAAAUUAAAAAGAUAGUACCACAAGAGGAAGAGACGGCUAACUCUGUGCCAGCAGCCGCGGUAAUACAGAGGUCUCAAGCGUUGUUCGGAAUCACUGGGCGUAAAGCGUGCGUAGGCUGUUUCGUAAGUCGUGUGUGAAAGGCGAGGGCUCAACCCGCGGACGGCACAUGAUACUGCGAGACUAGAGUAAUGGAGGGGGAACCGGAAUUCUCGGUGUAGCAGUGAAAUGCGUAGAUAUCGAGAGGAACACUCGUGGCGAAGGCGGGUUCCUGGACAUUAACUGACGCUGAGGCACGAAGGCCAGGGGAGCGAAAGGGAUUAGAUACCCUUGUAGUC